AGACGGAGGGGGCGAGCGUUAUUCGGAUUUAUUGGGCGUAAAGGGUCCGUAGGGGGUUUAUCAAGUCUGAUGUGAAAGCCCGCGGCUCAACCGCGGAAUUGCAUUGGAAACUGAUAGACUAGAGCAUAGGAGAGGUGAGUGGAAUUCCUGGUGUAGCGGUGGAAUGCGUAGAUAUCAGGAGGAACACCGAAGGCGAAGGCAGCUCACUGGACUAUUGCUGACCCUCAGGGACGAAAGCUAGGGGAGCGAACAGGAUUAGAAACCCCGGUAGUCC
rnacentral:rRNA from 1 species